UGGGGAAUUUUGCGCAAUGGGGGAAACCCUGACGCAGCAACGCCGCGUGGAGGAUGACGCAUUUCGGUGUGUAAACUCCUUUUCUACAAGAAGAAAUUGACGGUAUUGUAGGAGUAAGCGCCGGCUAACUCCGUGCCAGCAGCCGCGGUAAUACGGGGGGCGCAAGCGUUACUCGGAAUCACUGGGCGUAAAGGGAGCGUAGGCGUUCGGGCAAGUCUCCUGUGAAAUCCAUCGGCUUAACCGAUGAACUGCAGGAGAAACUAUCCGAAUAGAGUAUGGAAGAGGUCAGUGGAAUGGGUGGUGUAGGGGUAAAAUCCGUAGAGAUCACCCGGAAUACCAACGGCGAAGGCAACUGACUGGGACAUUACUGACGCUGAGGCUCGAAAGCGUGGGGAGCAAACAGGAUUAGAUACCCUGGUAGUCCACGCCCUAAACGAUGAAUGCUAGUCGCGGGGAGGCUUCGACCUUUCCGGGACGCAGCUAACGCAUUAAGCAUUCCGCCUGGGGAGUGCGGCCGCAAGGUUAAAACUCAAAGGAAUAGACGGGGACCCGCACAAGCGGUGGAGCAUGUGGUUUAAUUCGAAGAUACGCGAAGAACCUUACCCGGGCUUGACAUGCAGCGAACUUUGCAGAAAUGCGAGGGUGCUCGCAAGAGAACGCUGACACAGGUGCUGCACGGCUGUCGUCAGCUCGUGUCGUGAGAUGUUGGGUUAAGUCCCGCAACGAGCGCAACCCCCGUGUUUAGUUGCUAGCAGUUCGGCUGAGCACUCUAAACAGACCGCCCGCGCAAGCGGGAGGAAGGUGGGGAUGACGUCAAGUCAUCAUGGCCCUUAUGUCCGGGGCGACACACGUGCUACAAUGGGGGGGACAACAAGACGCAAUGCCGCGAGGCGGAGCAAAUUUAUAAAUCCUCUCUCAGUUCGGAUUGGAGUCUGCAACUCGACUCCAUGAAGCUGGAAUCGCUAGUAAUCGCGGAUCAGCCAUGCCGCGGUGAAUACGUUCCCGGGUCUUGUACUCACCGCCCGUCACACCAUGGGAGUUGAUUUCACCCGAAGUCGGAAUACGAAAUUCGUUACCGCCCACGGUGGAAUCAGCGACUGGGGUG
rnacentral:rRNA from 1 species